rnacentral:rRNA from 1 species
GCCAGACUCCUACGGGAGGCAGCAGUGGGGAAUAUUGCACAAUGGGGGAAACCCUGAUGCAGCGACGCCGCGUGAGCGAUGAAGUAUUUCGGUAUGUAAAGCUCUAUCAGCAGGGAAGAAAAUGACGGUACCUGAAGAAGAAGCCCCGGCUAACUACGUGCCAGCAGCCGCGGUAAUACGUAGGGGGCAAGCGUUAUCCGGAUUUACUGGGUGUAAAGGGGGCGCAGACGGCGAUGCAAGCCAGGAGUGAAAGCCCGGGGCCCAACCCCGGGACUGCUCUUGGAACUGCGUGGCUGGAGUGCAGGAGGGGCAGGCGGAAUUCCUGGUGUAGCGGUGAAAUGCGUAGAUAUUAGGAGGAACACCAGUGGCGAAGGCGGUCUGCUGGACAGCAACUGACGCUGAGGCGCGAAAGCGUGGGGAGCAAACAGGAUUAGAUACCCUAGUAC